rnacentral:rRNA from 1 species
UACGGAGGGUGCAAGCGUUAUCCGGAUUCACUGGGUUUAAAGGGUGCGUAGGUGGUCGGGUAAGUCUGAGGUGAAAUCUCCGAGCUCAACUCGGAAACUGCCUUGGAUACUAUCCGGCUUGAGGGUUGGAGGGGGGACUGGAAUUCUCGGUGUAGCAGUGAAAUGCGUAGAUAUCGAGAGGAACACCAGUGGCGAAGGCGAGUCCCUGGACAACUCCUGACGCUGAGGCACGAAAGCUAGGGGAGCAAACAGG